GACGAACGCUGGCGGCGUGCUUAACACAUGCAAGUCGAACGGAAAGGCCCUGCUUUUGUGGGGUGCUCGAGUGGCGAACGGGUGGGUAACACGUGAGUAACCUGCCCUUGACUUUGGGAUAACUUCAGGAAACUGGGGCUAAUACCGGAUAGGAGCUCCUGCUGCAUGGUGGGGGUUGGAAAGUUUCGGCGGUUGGGGAUGGACUCGCGGCUUAUCAGCUUGUUGGUGGGGUAGUGGCUUACCAAGGCUUUGACGGGCAGCCGGCCUGAGAGGGUGACCGGCCACAUUGGGACUGAGAUACGGCCCAGACUCCUACGGGAGGCAGCAGUGGGGAAUAUUGCACAAUGGGCGGAAGCCUGAUGCAGCAACGCCGCGUGCGGGAUGACGGCCUUCGGGUUGUAAACCGCUUUCGCCUGUGACGAAGCGUGAGUGACGGUAAUGGGUAAAGAAGCACCGGCUAACUACGUG
rnacentral:rRNA from 1 species